UACGAAGGGAGCUAGCGUUGUUCGGAAUUACUGGGCGUAAAGCGCACGUAGGCGGACUGUUAAGUCGGGGGUGAAAUCCUGGGGCUCAACCUCAGAAUUGCCUCCGAUACUGGCAGUCUCGAGUGCGGGAGAGGUGAGUGGAAUUCCCAGUGUAGAGGUGAAAUUCGUAGAUAUUGGGAAGAACACCAGUGGCGAAGGCGGCUCACUGGCCCGUAACUGACGCUGAGGUGCGAAAGCGUGGGGAGCAAACAGG
rnacentral:rRNA from 1 species